rnacentral:rRNA from 1 species
CAGGAUGAACGCUGGCGGCGUGCUUAACACAUGCAAGUCGAACGAAGCAUUUCCAACUCUUCGGAGGAAGAAAUGACUGAGUGGCGGACGGGUGAGUAACGCGUGGGUAACCUGCCUUAUACAGGGGGAUAACAGUUAGAAAUGACUGCUAAUACCGCAUAACCCGCUAGUACCGCAUGGUACAGACGGAAAAGAUUUAUCGGUAUAAGAUGGACCCGCGUCUGAUUAGCUAGUUGGUGAGGUAAUGGCUCACCAAGGCGACGAUCAGUAGCCGGCUUGAGAGAGUGAACGGCCACAUUGGGACUGAGACACGGCCCAAACUCCUACGGGAGGCAGCAGUGGGGAAUAUUGCACAAUGGGGGAAACCCUGAUGCCAGCAACGCCGCGUGAAGGAAGAAGUGUUUCGGUAUGUAAACUUCUAUCAGCAGGAAAGAAAAUGACGGUACCUGACUAAGAAGCCCCGGCUAACUACGUGCCAGCAGCAGC